rnacentral:miRNA from 1 species
ACGGCGGCGGCGGCAGCCG